rnacentral:rRNA from 1 species
AGGAUCAUUAGUGAACGCCCUCACGGGCUUAUAACUAUUCCAAACCUCUGUGAACUGUGCCCUUCGGGGCUAUUUUACAAACAUGGUGUAAUGAACGUCAUAUAUCAUAACAAAACAAAACUUUCAACAACGGAUCUCUUGGCUCUCGCAUCGAUGAAGAACGCAGCGAAAUGCGAUAAGUAAUGUGAAUUGCAGAAUUCAGUGAAUCAUCGAAUCUUUGAACGCACCUUGCGCCCUCUGGUAUUCCGGAGGGCAUGCCUGUUUGAGUGUCAUGUAGACUCAAUCCCUCGGGUUUCCGAGGAGAUUGGACUUGGGUGUUGCCGCUCUGCCGGCUCGCCUUAAAAGACUUAGCGGGAUAGCACCGUAGUCGGCGUAAUAAGUUUCGUCGGUGAAGGUUGUGAUGACUGCUUACAAUCGCCCUCGGGCAAUUUUUGACUCUGACCUCAAAUCAGGUAGGACUACCCGCUGAACUUAAGCAUAUCAAUAAGCGGAGGAAAAGAAACUAACAAGGAUUCCCCUAGUAGCGGCGAGCGAAGCGGGAAGAGCUCAAAUUUGAAAGCUGGCGUCCUUCGGGCGUCCGCAUUGUAAUCUAUAGAGGCGUUUUCUGUGCUGGACCGUGUCCAAGUCCCUUGGAACAGGGUAUCAAAGAGGGUGACAAUCCCGUACUUGACACGACAACCAGUGCUCUGUGAUACGUCUU